rnacentral:rRNA from 1 species
UACGUAGGGUGCAAGCGUUGUCCGGAAUUAUUGGGCGUAAAGAGCUCGUAGGCGGCCUGUCACGUCGACUGUGAAAACCCGAGGCUCAACCUCGGGCCUGCAGUCGAUACGGGCAGGCUAGAGUUCGGUAGGGGAGACUGGAAUUCCUGGUGUAGCGGUGAAAUGCGCAGAUAUCAGGAGGAACACCGGUGGCGAAGGCGGGUCUCUGGACAGUUCCUGACACUGAGGCACGAAGGCCAGGGGAGCAAACGGG